rnacentral:rRNA from 1 species
CAGCAGCCGCGGUAAUGCGAAGGGUGUAAGCGUUAAUCGGAAUUACUGGGCGUAAAGCGUGCGUAGGCGGUUUGUUAAGUCUGUUGUGAAAUCCCCGGGCUCAACCUGGGAAUGGCAAUGGAUACUGGCAAGCUAGAGUGCGUCAGAGGAUGGUGGAAUUCCCGGUGUAGCGGUGAAACGCGUAGAGAUCGGGAGGAACAUCAGUGGCGAAGGCGGCCAUCUGGGACAACACUGACGCUGAGGCACGAAAGCGUGGGGAGCAAACAGGAUUAGAUACCCGCGUAGUCCCUGUCUCUUAUAC